UACGUAGGGUGCGAGCGUUAAUCGGAAUUACUGGGCGUAAAGCGUGCGCAGGCGGCUUUGCAAGACAGAUGUGAAAUCCCCGGGCUCAACCUGGGAACUGCAUUUGUGACUGCAAGGCUAGAGUACGGCAGAGGGGGAUGGAAUUCCGCGUGUAGCAGUGAAAUGCGUAGAUAUGCGGAGGAACACCAAUGGCGAAGGCAAUCCCCUGGGCCUGUACUGACGCUCAUGCACGAAAGCGUGGGGAACAAACAGG
rnacentral:rRNA from 1 species